rnacentral:rRNA from 1 species
AAUCAACGCUGGCGGCGUGCCUAACACAUGCAAGUCGAACGAGAAGGUGACUUCGGUCACUGGAUAGUGGCGUCCGGGUGAGUAACACGUAGGUAAUCUACCUUCGGGUGGGGAAUAACGUCUCGAAAGAGACGCUAAUACCGCAUAAUGCAGCGGCACCUAAUGGUGAUUAGUUGUUAAAGCGGGGGAUCUUCGGACCUCGCGCUUGAAGAGGAGCCUGCGGCAGAUUAGCUAGUUGGUGAGGUAAUGGCUCACCAAGGCUUCGAUCUGUAGCUGGUCUGAGAGGACGGCCAGCCACACUGGCACUGACACACGGGCCAGACUCCUACGGGAGGCAGCAGUGGGAAUUUUGGACAAUGGGGCAACCCUGAUCCAGCCAUGCCGCGUGAGUGAAGAAGGCC